UGGGGAAUAUUGCACAAUGGGCGAAAGCCUGAUGCAGCGACGCCGCGUGAGGGAUGACGGCCUUCGGGUUGUAAACCUCUUUCAGUAGGGAACAAGGCCAGUGUUUAGCUGGUUGAGGGUACUUGCAGAAGAAGCGCCGGCUAACUACGUGCCAGCAGCCGCGGUAAUACGUAGGGCGCAAGCGUUAUCCGGAAUUAUUGGGCGUAAAGAGCUCGUAGGCGGUUUGUCGCGUCUGCCGUGAAAGUCCGGGGCUCAACCCCGGAUCUGCGGUGGGUACGGGCAGACUAGAGUGAUGUAGGGGAGACUGGAAUUCCUGGUGUAGCGGUGAAAUGCGCAGAUAUCAGGAGGAACACCGAUGGCGAAGGCAGGUCUCUGGGCAUUAACUGACGCUGAGGAGCGAAAGCAUGGGGAGCGAACA
rnacentral:rRNA from 2 species